rnacentral:rRNA from 1 species
AACAAUACAGCGCUUUAAGCAUUGUAAUUGGAAUGAUGGGAAUCCAAACCACUUCCAGAGUAUCAAUUGGAGGGCAAGUCUGGUGCCAGCAGCCGCGGUAAUUCCAGCUCCAAUAGCGUAUAUUAAACUUGUUGCAGUUAAAAAGCUCGUAGUUGAACUUCUGCUGCUUGGAUUUCGUUCCCUUCGGGGCUUCGUUUUCCUGGUGGCAUUAUUCCGGUUAAUUUUGGCUUCGGCCUUCUUUUUCCGGUUUUACUUUGAGAAAAUUAGAGUGUUUCAAGCAGGCUUUUGCCUUGAAUACUUCAGCAUGGAAUAAUAAAGUAGGACUUUGGUUCUAUUUUGUUGGUCUCAGGACCAAAGUAAUGGUUAAUAGGAACAGUUGGGGGCAUUCGUAUUUAACUGUCAGAGGUGAAAUUCUUAGAUUUGUUAAAGACGAACUACUGCG